rnacentral:rRNA from 1 species
AUUGAACGCUGGCGGCAGGCCUAACACGUGCAAGUCGAGCGGAUGAAGGGAGCUAGCUCCUGGAUUCAGCGGCGGACGGGCGAGUAAUGCCUAGGAAUCUGCCUGGUAGUGGGGGAUAACGUCCGGAAACGGGCGCUAAUACCGCAUACGUCCUGAGGGAGAAAGUGGGGGAUCUUCGGACCUCACGCUAUCAGAUGAGCCUAGGUCGGAUUAGCUAGUUGGUGGGGUAAAGGCCUACCAAGGCGACGAUCCGUAACUGGUCUGAGAGGAUGAUCAGUCACACUGGAACUGAGACACGGUCCAGACUCCUACGGGAGGCAGCAGUGGGGAAUAUUGGACAAUGGGCGAAAGCCUGAUCCAGCCAUGCCGCGUGUGUGAAGAAGGUCUUCGGAUUGUAAAGCACUUUAAGUUGGGAGGAAGGGCAGUAAGUUAAUACCUUGCUGUUUUGACGUUACCAACAGAAUAAGCACCGGCUAACUUCGUG